GACGAACGCUGGCGGCGUGCUUAACACAUGCAAGUCGAACGGAAAGGCCCUGCUUUUGUGUUGUGCUCGAGUGGCGAAUUUGUGAUUAACACGUGAUUAACCUCCCCUUGAUUUUGGGAUUCCUUCAGGAAACUGGGGCUAGUACCGGAUAGUAGCUCCUGCUUCAUGGUGGGGGUUGGCAAGUUUCGGCGGUUGGGGAUGGACUCGCGGCUUAUCAGCUUGUUGUGGGGGUAGGGGCUUACCAAGGCUUUGACGGGUAGCCGGCCUGAGAGGGUGACCGGCCACAUUGGGACUGAGAUGAGGCCCAGACUCAUACGGGAGGGAGGAGAGGAGAAGAGUGCACAAUGGGAGGGAGGAAGAUGCAGCAACGCCGCGUGCGGGAAGAGGGGAUGUGGGUUGGAAACCGAUGUCGCAUGUGAAGAAGAGAGAGUGACGGUAAUGGGUAAAGAAGCACCGGCUAACUACGUG
rnacentral:rRNA from 1 species